AAUGAACGUUGGCGGCGUGGAUUAGGCAUGCAAGUCGCGCGAGAAGUCAUUUAGCUUGCUAAAAGACGGACAGCGGCGGAAGGGAGAGUAACGCGUGGUUAUGUACCCUCGAGACCGGGAUAGUGUCGGGAAACUGGCAGUAAUACCGGAUAACAUCUUCGGAUCAAAUGGUGUGAUUCCGCCCGAGGAUCGGACCGCGUACUAUUGGCUAGUUGGAGGGGUAAUGGCCCACCAAGGCUUAGAUGGUUACCGGGUGUGAGAGCAUGGCCCGGCUCACUGGGACUGAGACACUGCCCAGACAUCUACGGAUGGCUGCAGUCGAGAAUCUUCGGCAAUGGACGAAAGUCUGACCGAGCGACGCCGCGUGCGGGAUGGAGGCCUUCGGGUUGUAAACCGCUGUCAGUUAGGAGGAAAUCCAUGAGGGUUCUCUCUCAUGGUUGACCGAUUUUCAGAGGAAGGACGGGCUAAGUUCGUGCCAGCCGCCGCUGUAAUAC
rnacentral:rRNA from 1 species